GAAGGUGGAUGACUUAAUAAACUCCAUUGUGAGGAAGGGGACAAGUCUGUUCAAGAUGUCCCUCUUUGUAUGCCACUGGUCUCUCCUCUUCUGUGAGGAGCAUGGACACAGGACAUUUGUCUUCCUCUGCUGCACCAUUUUAGGCUGAGCUAAUUAAUACAUGUUAGAAUGGUAGAGUUGAGCCCACUGUUCAUCUGAAUUAGCAAUACCAAGCAGCUGUUUUGGUUAAUCAUAAUGAGAGUUUCUGACGUCUGGAUGAGCAUCAGGGCCUGGAGAUGGCUUGAGCUGAUUCUUGGGGUUCGGAUGGGGCUGAUGGCCUGUUGCGCUAAUUGACAGUGCAGUGAAGCUCUGGUCCAGUGGAGUAGAACACCUGCAGACCCACAGGUGAAGAGAG
rnacentral:lncRNA from 1 species